rnacentral:rRNA from 1 species
UAGCCUGGUAGCAAUACUAGGUUGAGCCAGUGGCGAACGGGUGCGUAACACGUGAGUCAUCUGCCUGAAAGUGGGGGAUAACUCGCCGAAAGGCGAAUUAAUACCGCAUGUGCCCCGAAGCAAUUCGGGAUAAAGCCGGGGCAACCUGGCGCUUUUAGAUGAGCUCGCGGCCUAUCAGCUUGUUGGUAAGGUAACGGCUUACCAAGGCUUCGACGGGUAGCUGGUCUGAGAGGACGACCAGCCACACUGGAACUGAGACACGGUCCAGACACCUACGGGUGGCAGCAGUCGAGAAUUUUUCUCAAUGGGGGAAACCCUGAAGGAGCGACGCCGCGUGGAGGAUGAAGGCUUUCGGGUUGUAAACUCCUGUCAUUUGGGAACAACACCUUACGGUAACUGCGUGGAGGUUUGAUAGUACCAGAAGAGGAAGAGACGGCUAACUCUGUGCCAGCAGCCGCGGUAAUACAGAGGUCUCAAGCGUUGUUCGGAUUCAUUGGGCGUAAAGGGCGCGUAGGCUGCGGGGCAAGUCGGGUGUGAAAUCUCAGAGCUCAACUCUGAAACUGCACUCGAUACUGCUUUGCUUGAGGACUGGAGAGGAGAUUGGAAUUCACGGUGUAGCA